GAUGAACGCUGGCUACAGGCUUAACACAUGCAAGUCGAGGGGAAACGCCGGGGAAGCUUGCUUCCCCGGGCGUCGACCGGCGCACGGGUGAGUAACGCGUAUCCAACCUGCCUCUGACUGAGGGAUAACCCGUCGAAAGUCGGCCUAAUACCUCAUGGCAUCGUCUGCGGGCAUCCAACGACGAUUAAAGAUUUCAUCGGUCAGAGAUGGGGAUGCGUCUGAUUAGCUUGUUGGCGGGGUAACGGCCCACCAAGGCGACGAUCAGUAGGGGUUCUGAGAGGAAGGUCCCCCACAUUGGAACUGAGACACGGUCCAAACUCCUACGGGAGGCAGCAGUGAGGAAUAUUGGUCAAUGGGCGAGAGCCUGAACCAGCCAAGUAGCGUGCAGGAUGACGGCCCUAUGGGCGGUAAACUGCUUUUAGGCGGGGAUAAAGUGAGGGACGUGUCCUUCAUUGCAGGUACCGCAUGAAUAAGGACCGGCUAAUUCCGUG
rnacentral:rRNA from 1 species